GUGGGGAAUUUUGGACAAUGGGGGCAACCCUGAUCCAGCCAUGCCGCGUGCGGGAAGAAGGCCUUCGGGUUGUAAACCGCUUUUGUCAGGGAAGAAAUCCUUUGGGUUAAUACCUCGGAGGGAUGACGGUACCUGAAGAAUAAGCACCGGCUAACUACGUGCCAGCAGCCGCGGUAAUACGUAGGGUGCGAGCGUUAAUCGGAAUUACUGGGCGUAAAGCGUGCGCAGGCGGUUUUGUAAGUUCGAUGUGAAAUCCCCGGGCUCAACCUGGGAACUGCAUUGGUGACUGCAAGGCUGGAGUGCGGCAGAGGGGGAUGGAAUUCCGCGUGUAGCAGUGAAAUGCGUAGAUAUGCGGAGGAACACCGAUGGCGAAGGCAAUCCCCUGGGCCUGCACUGACGCUCAUGCACGAAAGCGUGGGGAGCAAACAGGAUUAGAUACCCCAGUAGUCC
rnacentral:rRNA from 1 species